ACGCUCGACACCUACGGGGGCAGCAGUGGGGAAUAUUGCACAAUGGGGGAAACCCUGAUGCAGCGACGCCGCGUGAGUGAAGAAGUAUUUCGGUAUGUAAAGCUCUAUCAGCAGGGAAGAAGAUGACGGUACCUGAGUAAGAAGCCCCGGCUAACUACGUGCCAGCAGCCGCGGUAAUCUGAGGCGGGCUGGCAAGGC
rnacentral:rRNA from 1 species